rnacentral:misc_RNA from 1 species
UCCGGCUUAACGCCGGCAGUCUCCCUAGAGUGCCCAACUGAAUGGUGGCAACUAAGGACGAGGGUUGCGUUCGUUACCCCACUGAAGGGAACAACUCAAGCCACGAACUGACGACGACCAUGCAUCACCUGCCCAACUGUCUUGCGAAAGCCAAAGUUUCCUAAGGCGGUCAGUUGAGUUUCAAACCCUGGUGAGGUUCUUCGUUUGCCAUCGAAUUGAGCCGCAUGAUCCACCGCUUGUGCAAGUCCCCGUCUAUUCCUUUGAGUUUUAACCUUGCGGUCGUACUACCCAGGCGCACAACUUAACGCGUUAGCUUCGCCACAAAGAGGGUCGAUACUCCUUAUAGCCAGUUGUGAUCGUUUAGGGCGUGGACUA